GGGGGUAUAGCUCAGUGGUAGAGCUUUCGACUGCAGAUUAGAAGGUCCCCGGUUCAAACCCGGGUGUCCCCU